CAGUCGCCGCGGGAAUACGUAGGUGGCAAGCGUUGUCCGGAAUUAUUGGGCGUAAAGGGCUCGCAGGCGGUUUCUUAAGUCUGAUGUGAAAGCCCCCGGCUCAACCGGGGAGGGUCAUUGGAAACUGGGAAACUUGAGUGCAGAAGAGGAGAGUGGAAUUCCACGUGUAGCGGUGAAAUGCGUAGAGAUGUGGAGGAGCACCAGUGGCGAAGGCGACUCUCUGGUCUGUAACUGACGCUGAGGAGCGAAAGCGUGGGGAGCGAACAGGAUUAGAUACCCGCGUAGUCCCUGUCUCUUAUAC
rnacentral:rRNA from 1 species